UACGUAGGGUGCAAGCGUUAAUCGGAAUUACUGGGCGUAAAGCGUGCGCAGGCGGUGAUGUAAGACAGUUGUGAAAUCCCCGGGCUCAACCUGGGAACUGCAUCUGUGACUGCAUCGCUGGAGUGCGGCAGAGGGGGGUGGAAUUCCGCGUGUAGCAGUGAAAUGCGUAGAUAUGCGGAGGAACACCGGUGGCGAAGGCGGCUAUCUGGCCCGUAAUUGACGCUGAGGCGCGAAAGCGUGGGGAGCAAACAGG
rnacentral:rRNA from 1 species